UACGGGGGGGGCAAGCGUUGUUCGGAAUUACUGGGCGUAAAGGGCUCGUAGGCGGCCAACUAAGUCAGACGUGAAAUCCCUCGGCUUAACCGGGGAACUGCGUCUGAUACUGGAUGGCUUGAGUUUGGGAGAGGGAUGCGGAAUUCCAGGUGUAGCGGUGAAAUGCGUAGAUAUCGUUUGGAACGCCAAUGGUGAAAACAAGUAGCUGGGGAUGUGCCGACGCUGAGACACGAAAGCCAGGGGAGCGAACGGG
rnacentral:rRNA from 1 species